UUUGUAUAAUGGGUCAGCGACUUAUAUUCAGUGGCAAGGUUAACCAUCUAGGGGAGCCGUAGGGAAACCGAGUCUUAACUGGGCGUUCAGUCUCUGGAUAUAGACCCGAAACCAGGUGAUCUAGCCAUGGGCAGGUUGAAGGUUGAGUAACAUCAACUGGAGGACCGAACCGACUAAUGUUGAAAAAUUAGCGGAUGACUUGUGGCUAGGGGUGAAAGGCCAAUCAAACCUGGAGAUAGCUGGUUCUCCCCGAAAGCUAUUUAGGUAGCGCCUCGGACGAAUACUACUGGGGGUAGAGCACUGUUAAGGCUAGGGGGUCAUCCCGACUUACCAACCCUUUGCAAACUCCGAAUACCAGUAAGUACUAUCCGGGAGACACACGGCGGGUGCUAACGUCCGUCGUGGAGAGGGAAACAACCCAGACCGCCAGCUAAGGUCCCAAAUUACUACUAAGUGGGAAACGAUGUGGGAAGGCUCAGACAGCCAGGAUGUUGGCUUAGAAGCAGCCAUCAUUUAAAGAAAGCGUAAUAGCUCACUGGUCGAGUCGGCCUGCGCGGAAGAUGUAACGGGGCUAAGUAGUAAACCGAAGCUGCGGCAAUAUACUUUUGUAUAUUGGGUAGGGGAGCGUUCUGUAAGCGGUUGAAGGUGUGUGGUAACGCAUGCUGGACGUAUCAGAAGUGCGAAUGCUGACAUGAGUAACGAUAAAGGGGGUGAAAAACCUCCUCGCCGGAAGACCAAGGGUUCCUGUCCAACGUUAAUCGGGGCAGGGUAAGUCGACCCCUAAGGCGAGGCCGAAAGGCGUAGUCGAUGGGAAACGGGUUAAUAUUCCCGUACUUCUUACAAUUGCGAUGGGGGGACGGAGAAGGCUAGGUGGGCCUGGCGACGGUUGUCCAGGUUCAAGUGCGUAGGCUUAAGA
rnacentral:rRNA from 1 species